GAGCGGAUAGCUCAGUCGGUACAGCAUCUGACUUUUAAUCUGAGGGUCCAGGGGUUCAAGUCCCUGUUCGGACG
rnacentral:tRNA from 1 species